rnacentral:rRNA from 1 species
AUUGAACGCUAGCGGGAUGCCUUACACAUGCAAGUCGAACGGAGUGGCGAACGGGUGAGUAAUGUAUCGGAAUGUGCCCAGUAGUGGGGGAUAACUACGCGAAAGCGUAGCUAAUACCGCAUACUAUUGGAGCGGCCGAUAUCGGAUUAGCUAGUUGGGGGGGUAACGGCUCACCAAGGCGACGAUCCGUAGCUGGUUUGAGAGGACGACCAGCCACACUGGGACUGAGACACGGCCCAGACUCCUACGGGAGGCAGCAGUGGGGAAUAUUGGACAAUGGGGGAAACCCUGAUCCAGCCAUCCCGCGUGUGCGAAGAAGGCCUUCGGGUUGUAAAGCACUUUUGGCAGGGAAGCGGUACCUGCAGAAUAAGCACCGGCUAACUACGUGCCAGCCGCCGCGGUAAUUC